GGAGGGGUCGCAUAGGCUGGUCUAGUGCGCGGCACUCGAAAUGCCGUAAGGGGCAACUCUUCGUGGGUUCGAAUCCCACCCCCUCCG
rnacentral:tRNA from 1 species